GCCCCUUUAGCUCAGUUGGUUAGAGCAUCUGACUCUUAAUCAGAGUGUCCAGGGUUCGAAUCCCUGAGGGGGCA
rnacentral:tRNA from 1 species